CAGUAGCCGCGGUAAUACGGAGGGUGCAAGCGUUAAUCGGAAUUACUGGGCGUAAAGCGCACGCAGGCGGUUUGUUAAGUCAGAUGUGAAAUCCCCGAGCUUAACUUGGGAACUGCAUUUGAAACUGGCAAGCUAGAGUCUUGUAGAGGGGGGUAGAAUUCCAGGUGUAGCGGUGAAAUGCGUAGAGAUCUGGAGGAACACCGGUGGCGAAGGCGGCCCCCUGGGCAAAGACUGACGCUCAGGUGCGAAAGCGUGGGGAGCAAACAGGAUUAGAUACCCGGGUAGUCCCUGUCUCUUAUCA
rnacentral:rRNA from 1 species